rnacentral:rRNA from 1 species
AGUGAACGCUGGCGGUAGGCCUAACACAUGCAAGUCGAACGGCAGCACAGUAAGAGCUUGCUCUUACGGGUGGCGAGUGGCGGACGGGUGAGGAAUACAUCGGAAUCUACUUUUUCGUGGGGGAUAACGUAGGGAAACUUACGCUAAUACCGCAUACGACCUACGGGUGAAAGCAGGGGAUCUUCGGACCUUGCGCGAUUGAAUGAGCCGAUGUCGGAUUAGCUAGUUGGCGGGGUAAAGGCCCACCAAGGCGACGAUCCGUAGCUGGUCUGAGAGGAUGAUCAGCCACACUGGAACUGAGACACGGUCCAGACUCCUACGGGAGGCAGCAGUGGGGAAUAUUGGACAAUGGGCGCAAGCCUGAUCCAGCCAUACCGCGUGGGUGAAGAAGGCCUUCGGGUUGUAAAGCCCUUCUGUUGGGAAAGAAAAGCAGCAGGUUAAUACCCCGCUGUUCUGACGGUACCUAAAGAAUAAGCACCGGCUAACUUCGUG